GGUGUAACUGCCAUUAGGGUCAGUUAUGCUGCUUUAAAUUUAUUUAAUGAAUUUAAAUAGACGAAUAAUUUAAACAUAACUGAAAUCGCAGCAUUAUUUGAUUUAAACGAAGAAUUUAGUAAUUAACAUAAUUAUAAUUAAAGGCAUGUGUUUGUAAGGAUCUUUCUAGUAUUUCUAUAGCGGAACUAAUCUUGCGUGUUGCUUGGGGUCUGGUCAGUUUUGUUGGUAACAUUUUCGUUCCGCUCAGUUAAGUGUAUCACUGGUUAUGCGGCUGAGAAAGUGUUUUAAUUUACAAGUGUCAAUAUUCAUGCGGAUAGGAGUUAUUGUAUAAGCUACAGUCAUACGUUUUCUUUCUUUAACUCCUCUUGAAUUAACGCGGCCAAUGAGUUCUCACGGCAUGCUCGACCGGAUGGAUACGCGAAUAAAUGCUCGUGAUCAGAGAUCAACUUGUGUUCGUUAUUGAGAGGACUUACAAGGGGGGCUGCGGUGGCCUCAUAGGAAAGAUACGUAUCAUCAUCAUCAUCAUUAUUACUACUUGAUAUGCUUUGCUAAGCAGACCUACCAGAUGCAUGAGGCUUCUGAAGAAACAAUCUGUGAUCAUCAAUUUCCAUUUUUCUUCAAUUUCAUCCGGAAUAGCCGCGGUGAUCGGCGGAAGACGUUAUGUCGAAGAGAGCGACUUUUUCGCAGUUUAGGGUUUUUCCUGUCCGACGUCUCUCCUCUCCUCUCCCCUCUGCGUUCAAACGGAGGUAAGCCCGCCUUCUGAAAACAUAAUUUUAACAGGUAGAACGGGAUUUUUAAAAUUUAGUAACAGUGAUGUUAACUCUGCAGGUUUUGGUACACUCCGUCGUCCUAAAACAUACAGGAUGCCAUCGCACAGACAAUAUACCGAGAUCACACCUGCAAGAAAUACCACACAGACCUUGGCUUUCAAAGCAGCCUGCCGAGGGGGCUGCAUCGUUUCGUUACUGUGAACUCUAUGUCUGUUUUUGAGUGUUAUUUAUUAGUGUAAUUUCAUCGAAAGGGACACUUUAAAAACAUCACCCCCCCCCCCAGGCUAGUUCCACCGCAAACAAUUAUGUUCGGCAGGUCUGCAUACGGCUGAUUUCUGAUGUCACUCCUCCCUUACUGCCAGAGAGCACAAUUACUGUAGAAAAAACGAAACAUUAAAGCCUAACUCUGUGUUAACAAGAAUGAUUAAAAAAAAAAAAAAAAAAAAAACACGCGUAGACAUUCAGGGAGUCCAGCUAAAAGUCUAAUGU